CUCAUAGAGGCGGAGCCGCGCGGAAGCCAGUACUCAAUAAAGUAGGGCUACAAGGCUGUCUCCUUUUCCGGAGAAACCGAACCGGUUCAGUUUACACUUCAUGCUGAUCCUAGAAGAUAAGCUCCUCUCAUUAUGUCCCUCUUCGUAUUGAUCCCGUGGAGCCAUCUAUCAGAAGGAACCCACCUAUGGUACCGCCCAUUAAAUGGACAACUUGGGGCUGACGCCAGGAAGAGGGCGGCUGGAGAGAGUGGAUACAGAGGCAGGGAGCUUUUAAGGAUUACAUGAAAGAUGGUCUCAGACUUUUGGACCCCACUGUAUUUACUUUUUUGGAUUCAGGAAUCAGCGUAGCGGCUCAGCACAGGUGUCAUACCUGAGUUACAAGGCACCACUUAAGCUCUUUGCUAGAGGGAUUGCGUAGCUCACCGUGGUUUUGAGGAUCUUUGCCGGAGCUGGACUUAGCGGAACUAGCUGUUGAAGAAGAUCUCCCACACGGCAGUUCAUGAGUCAGCAUCUGCAUGUACAUCUUAGCACUGUGGGCCUUUUGUGUUUGCAUUUGCAGAUUUUUAGUCGACAGCUUUUGUGUGUAAGGAAGCGAUAAACAAUGUGAACUUUGGACCAACGGUCGAUAACACUGUUAGAUGAGGUCACAAGUGGGGCGGACCCCACAGUUUUGUUUUCCUGAAAUGAAACUAUACUCCCCCUGCCCUUGGUGCUGCAAGCACUAAAUGUAAAUAGGUUUGAGGGUGUGUAUUAAGCCUGACGCCCCCACACAAUAUGCUUUUCAAAGAGAAAAAAAACAUUUGACAAGGGGAGGGGUGUUUUCAAGUAUCAAAUGCAGGGCAAUAUGUCUUCUUGUUUCGCUUUAGGAAAAGUCGUGCUGCAUUGCCACAUCAGAAUCAGCAGCCUCCAGAGCCAUAACUAUAGAUAGAAAAAAAUCAUCUAGCAAAUGUCAAAGUGAAUGUGCCUGUCAGAAGAGUGAUAACAGGUUAUUCCAGUCCCUGCCACAGUGGAACUAUGGUGAAUGUUUAUUGUAAAUUUGCUUGGUUGACACCCUUAUUUGAAAGCUUGUAUUCUUGCAUCGUUUAUGUAAGCCAAUAUGUAUACACUUUAUUUGGUAAACCUGUACAACAUUGUUAAUGCAAAUAUGUAAUCAGUCAAACAUGUGGCAACAACUAACUGCAUAAAAUCAUGCAGACUAGGUCAAGAGGCUCAGCUGUUUUUCAGACAAAAUGUCAGAAUGGGGAAGAAAUGUGAUCUAAGUGACUUUGACUGUGGCAUAAUUGUGCCAGACAGGGUGGUUUGAGUAUCUCAGAAACUGAUCUGGGAUUUUCACAUACAACAGUCUCUAGAUUUUGCAGAGAAUAGUGUGAAGAACAAAAAACAACCAGUGAGCAGCAGUUCUGUGGGCAGAAAUACGUUGUUAAUGAGAGAGGCCAGAGGAGAACGGCCAGACUGGUCGUAGCUGACAGGAAGUUGGCAGUAACGCAAAUAACCAUGCAUUACAACAGUGGUAUGCAGAAGAGCAUUUCUGAACAGACAAUGUGUCAAACCACUAAGUUGACAGACAACAGCAGCAAAAGACUAAAUAAGCCUAAAAAAUAUGUCUAAUAAAUACAGAAUAAAGCCAUUCCUGGGCACAGCUGACACUG